ensembl:lncRNA
AAUCGGUGUAAGAGCCAAAGUCAAUGUUUAUGUUUUUCCUUUUUGUUUUGGUGGCACAGGUGUAUAGCUUUACCUGCGUCUCAGGUGAUGGUGUGUGGGUGUGGUCACAGUCUAUUUACCUGAGGUCGGUGUUCGCAGCAGGUGUGUUGGGAGUCACCACAGCAGAUCAUCUGCCUCCAUCGCACCCUAUACUGGGCAGACUGAUCUGUCACACCAACACUGUGCAGACCUGUGCAGUCCAGACCUUUGUCACUUUGCAACAAUAGAUUCAAAAUAUAACUUUUUACCACUGUAAUCAACAUGCUUUGAAAUGCAUGACUUUUACCCUGAAGUGAAGCUGUCUGUCUCAGUUUGACAAUGCAUGCUGAUAGUAUUACACAUAAUUCAGUGAUGUGUGAAAAGACAGUGAAAGCUUUUACGCAAUUUAGGCAGCACUACUACUGAAGAGCAGGUGUACUCAUGUCAAUAAAUAUUUUAAUUAGCACAAGUUCGACAAUAUAGAUAUCACAGAUAUAUCUUUGUGGCACUCCAAAACUGUUUUAGCCAGCACUAAAGAAAAACCACAUGUGCUAAAAAGAAAAAAGCUUGAGAAUAAAAAUUCAAGCACUGUGCUGUUGUGUGUUUAAACUGUCAUGGUCCUGGGCCAUGUUGGCCCAGUGUUCUUAGUUUUCUUGUAUGUUUGUAUUUUGUUCCUUAUUUAGGCCAUGUUUUCUGAGUUGCCCUGUUCCCUAAGUGUUUUCCCUUCAUGGCUUUUACCCCCUGUGUGCCCCUCUGUGUAUCUGUGAGCCCUCGUCUCUCCUUAUGUUUUAUUCCAUGUUUCCCCUGCCCAUUAUGUCCAAGUUCUCCCCGUGCUCUCUCUCUCCCCCCUGUGUGCCCUGUGUAUUUAUGAGCCCUCGUCUCCCUUUGUGGUUGUUUCAUGUUUCCCCAGCCCGUUAUGUCUGUGUUUUCCCCGUG